CCAGCUUGUGCAGUGGAGAGGCUCCCCGGAUGCCAAUCGCCUGCUUUCUCCCCACACACACGCAGGUGGAGAUGACCCGUUCGACAUCCUUCACGGUUGCACUACCAAGUCCUACUGUGCCAUGCUACUGAAGGCAUUUGAUGUCGUCCCAGGGGACAGUGUAGUUCCAGUCAUGGACAUGUGCACCACCGCCUGCGAGACGGCUGGCAUGGGGUUAGCCGGGCUCCUCCUCUCAGCCCUCGCUGGGGUCCUCCUGCUGAAGCUUCUCUCCUGUCUGUGUGGAUGAGCACGCCGCGCUUUCUUGUCGACUCGCAUGUAAUCUUGCCGGUGGAGCAGCCAUGAAGGUGCUACCGAGUCCUUCGGUGCCCAGCAAAGCAGCCAGCACAGCUCGGGGACCAGCCGGGCUCCUCAUCCCAGACCUGGCUGGGCUCCACCUCCUGCCGCUCCUCUCCUGAUCCCCCACCUCUGCAAUGGCCACGCCACACUCAAUAACGUCCUGCCGCUUGCGUCUGCCCCUCUCUGCAGCUGCUCUCCCCUCCCAGGGGCUCUGGGCUCCCGCCUGGAUUCGCUUCCCCUUUAUUUUGUUGCACUGAAUAAAACAAAGCAGAGAC